UACGAAGGGUGCAAGCGUUACUCGGAAUUACUGGGCGUAAAGCGUGCGUAGGCGGUUUGUUAAGUCUGUCGUGAAAGCCCCGGGCUCAACCUGGGAAUUGCGCUUGAAACUAGCGAGCUUGAGUGUGGCAGAGGGGGGUGGAAUUCCACGUGUAGCAGUGAAAUGCGUAGAGAUGUGGAGGAACACCGAUGGCGAAGGCAGCCCCCUGGGUCAACACUGACGCUCAUGCACGAAAGCGUGGGGAGCAAACAGG
rnacentral:rRNA from 1 species